rnacentral:rRNA from 1 species
UACGUAGGGGGCAAGCGUUGUCCGGAUUUAUUGGGCGUAAAGAGCGUGUAGGCGGCUUUACAGGUCCGUUGUGAAAACUCGAGGCUCAACCUCGAGACGCCGGUGGAAACCGUAAGGCUAGAGUCCGGAAGAGGAGAGUGGAAUUCCUGGUGUAGCGGUGAAAUGCGCAGAUAUCAGGAGGAACACCCGUGGCGAAGGCGGCUCCUGG